GUCCAGGGAUGGAAAUCGAACCCACAAUGUUCCACUUACCGGGCAGAUGCCAUGUCCACUAGGCUACCCUGGA
rnacentral:tRNA from 1 species